GUAGUCUCGCACAGAUGCAUAUCAAUAAGCGGAGGAAAAGAAACUAACAAGGAUUCCCUUAGUAACGGCGAGUGAAGCGGGAAGAGCUCAAAUUUGAAAUCUUGAAAGGUCACCUUUCACGAAUUGUAGUUUAAAGAAGUGUUUUCUGUUACGAUCGUAAUAUAAGUUCUUUGGAAUAGGACAUCACAGAGGGUGAGAAUCCCGUCUAUGAUUGCGAUUUGUAGCUUUGUGUAUACACUUUCAAAGAGUCGGGUUGUUUGGGAAUGCAGCCCAAAACGGGAGGUAAAUUUCUUCUAAGGCUAAAUAUUGGCGAGAGACCGAUAGCGAACAAGUACCGUGAGGGAAAGAUGAAAAGAACUUUGAAAAGAGAGUUAAAUAGUACGUGAAAUUGUCAAAAGGGAAGCGUUUAACACCAGUGUUGUUUUCUGAAAAUCAACCUCUGUUAGCUUUAUGCAUGUUUGUUUAGACCUAAUCAGCUAUCUUGCAUGUUCUAUUGUUUGCAGUGGUGCACUUUUCAGUUUACAGGUCAACAUCAGUUUUUUUUUACCGUAAAAAAGUUAAAGAAAGGUAGCUCAUGGCUCCGGUCGUGAGUGUUAUAGUCUUUUUCCUAUGCGGUAGGAGAGACUGAGGUCUGCAGUGUAGGCUAUUUGGCUAGAUACUCAGGUGCUAUGUGAUACCAUUUCAUAAACAACUUGUUGAUUAUGUUUUGUCUAUUGCAUACUCGCUUGUACUAUCAUACCUACGCUUAGGAUGUUGAGUCGUAGAGCACGCAG
rnacentral:rRNA from 1 species